rnacentral:rRNA from 1 species
GAGUUUGAUCCUGGCUCAGAUUGAACGCUGGCGGCAUGCCUUACACAUGCAAGUCGAACGGCAGCAUGAUCUAGCUUGCUAGAUUGAUGGCGAGUGGCGAACGGGUGAGUAAUACAUCGGAACGUGCCCUGUAGUGGGGGAUAACUAGUCGAAAGAUUAGCUAAUACCGCAUACGACCUGAGGGUGAAAGUGGGGGACCGCAAGGCCUCAUGCUAUAGGAGCGGCCGAUGUCUGAUUAGCUAGUUGGUGGGGUAAAGGCCCACCAAGGCGACGAUCAGUAGCUGGUCUGAGAGGACGAUCAGCCACACUGGGACUGAGACACGGCCCAGACUCCUACGGGAGGCAGCAGUGGGGAAUUUUGGACAAUGGGGGCAACCCUGAUCCAGCAAUGCCGCGUGUGAAGAAGGCCUUCGGGUUGUAAAGCACUUUUGUCCGGAAAGAAAUCGCACUUACUAAUAUUAGGUGUGGAUGACGGUACCGGAAGAAUAAGGACCGGCUAACUACGUGCCAGCAGCCGCGGUAAUACGUAGGGUCCAAGCGUUAAUCGGAAUUACUGGGCGUAAAGCGUGCGCAGGCGGUUGUGCAAGACCGAUGUGAAAUCCCCGGGCUUAACCUGGGAAUUGCAUUGGUGACUGCACGGCUAG